CUUCCCUACGGGAGGCAGCAGUGGGGAAUAUUGCACAAUGGGGGGAACCCUGAUGCAGCGACGCCGCGUGAGCGAAGAAGUAUUUCGGUAUGUAAAGCUCUUUCAGCAGGGAAGAAAAUGACGGUACCUGACUAAGAAGCCCCGGCUAACUACGUGCCAGCAGCCGCGGUAAUACGUAGGCGGCAAGCGUUAUCCGGAUUUACUGGGUGUAAAGGGAGCGCAGUCGGCGCG
rnacentral:rRNA from 1 species